rnacentral:rRNA from 1 species
UACAGAGGGUGCGAGCGUUGUUCGGAAUUACUGGGCGUAAAGCGCGCGCAGGCGGCUUUUUUAAGUCUGACGGUGAAAUGUCGGGGCUCAACCCCGUGCCCGCCGCGGAUACUGGGAAGCUGGAGACAUGUAGAGGCAAGCGGAAUUCCGGGUGUAGCGGUGGAAUGCGUAGAUAUCGGAAGGAACACCAGUGGCGAAAGCGGCUCCCUGGUCCAGCACCGACGUCAGGCACGAAAGCGUGGGGAGCAAACAGG